CAGUAGCCGCGGUAACACGUAGGUCCCGAGCGUUGUCCGGAUUUAUUGGGCGUAAAGCGAGCGCAGGCGGUUAGAUAAGUCUGAAGUUAAAGGCUGUGGCUUAACCAUAGUACGCUUUGGAAACUGUUUAACUUGAGUGCAAGAGGGGAGAGUGGAAUUCCAUGUGUACCGGUGAAAUGCGUAGAUAUAUGGAGGAACACCGGUGGCGAAAGCGGCUCUCUGGCUUGUAACUGACGCUGAGGCUCGAAAGCGUGGGGAGCAAUCAGGAUUAGAUACCCCCGUAGUCCCUGUCUCUUAUACA
rnacentral:rRNA from 1 species